rnacentral:lncRNA from 1 species
CAUCAAUUUUAUUAAAAAAAAACUAACCACAUCGAUGUCUUCUUCUUAUUAUUGCUCCAAAUGGAAAAAAUAGAGUAAUACCAAAACCUCUUGUAAAAUAGUGAGCUGAUUGUUUCCCGAUCAACACUCCUAAUAAGGCCAGUUUCAUUCAAAAUUGUUAAAUUCAAAAAAAAAAUUAAGUAUAAAAACAUUAUGCAGGGGCAUUUCGGUCCAAAACUGUUAAAACCAAAAAAAAUAGCUAUAAAAAUAGUAUGUUGGGGUAGUUUUGUCCAAAACCGUUAAAAUCAAUUUUUUUAAGUUUAAAAACAAUAUGCAGGGGCAGUUUGGUUCAAAAACUUAAAAUUAAAUUUUUUAAGUAUAUAAACAAUAUGGAGGGUCAGUUUGGUCCAAAAAUAUUAGAAUAAAAAAUUUAUAACUAUAAAGGCGUCAUUAUUAGAAUUUUACCUUAUAUAAUCCAUAGCAAAAGAUAUUUUGUAUAAAAAGUUAAAAAAAAAAUGUAUGGAUUCAUAAGUGAACCUUUUUAUGUUUCAGUUU